CCUACGGGAGGCAGCAGUGAGGAAUAUUGGUCAAUGGGCGCGAGCCUGAACCAGCCAAGUAGCGUGAAGGAUGACUGCCCUACGGGUUUUAAACUUCUUUUAUAAAGGAAUAAAGUGAGGCACGUGUGCCUUUUUGUAUGUACUUUAUGAAUAAGGAUCGGCUAACUCCGUGUCAGCAGCCGCGGUAAUACGGAGGAUCCGAGCGUUAUCCGGAUUUCUUGGGUUUAAAGGGAGCGUAUAUGGGUUGUUAAGUCAGUUGUGAAAGUUUGCGGCUUAACCGUAAAAUUGCAAUUGAUACUGGCAGUCUUGAGUAAAGUUGAGGUAGGCGGAAUUCGUGGUGUAGCGGUGGAAUGCUUAGAUAUCACGAAGAACUCCGAUGGCGAAGGCAGCUUACUAAACUGACACUGACAUUGAUGCUCGAAAGUGUGGGUAUCAAACAGGAUUAGAUACCCCUGUAGUC
rnacentral:rRNA from 1 species